UAGGGAAUCUUCCGCAAUGGGCGAAAGCCUGACGGAGCAACGCCGCGUGAGUGAUGAAGGUCUUCGGAUCGUAAAACUCUGUUAUUAGGGAAGAACAAAUGUGUAAGUAACUAUGCACGUCUUGACGGUACCUAAUCAUAAAGCCACGGCUAACUACGUGCCAGCAGCCGCGGUAAUACGUAGGUGGCAAGCGUUGUCCGGAAUUAUUGGGCGUAAAGCGCGCGUAGGCGGUUUUUUAAGUCUGAUGUGAAAGCCCACGGCUCAACCGUGGAGGGUCAUUGGAAACUGGAAAACUUUAGUGCAGAAGAGGAAAGUGGAAUUCCAUGUGUAGCGGUGAAAUGCGCAGAGAUAUGGAGGAACACCAGUGGCGAAGGCGACUUUCUGGUCUGUAACUGACGCUGAUGUGCGAAAGCGUGGGGAUCAAACAGG
rnacentral:rRNA from 1 species